rnacentral:rRNA from 1 species
UCUUGCGACCGUACUCCCCAGGCGGAAUGUUUAAUGCGUUAGCUGCAUCACCGAAUAGACUAGCUACCCGACGACUAACAUUCAUCGUUUAGGGCGUGGACUACCAGGGUAUCUAAUCCUGUUUGCUCCCCACGCUUUCGCGCCUCAGCGUCAGUAAUGUUCCAGAAGAUUGCCUUCGCUUUUGGUAUUCCUAGUUAUCUCUACGGAUUUUACCCCUACACAACUAAUUCCAUCUUCCUCUCCCACACUCUAGCCUGAUAGUUUUGGAUGCAGUUCUAUGGUUGAGCCAUAGGCUUUCACAUCCAACUUAAAAGGCCGCCUGCGCGCGCUUUACGCCCAGUGAUUCCGAG